UGGGGAAUAUUGCACAAUGGGCGCAAGCCUGAUGCAGCCAUGCCGCGUGUGUGAAGAAGGCCUUCGGGUUGUAAAGCACUUUCAGCGAGGAGGAAGGUGGUGAACUUAAUACGUUCAUCAAUUGACGUUACUCGCAGAAGAAGCACCGGCUAACUCCGUGCCAGCAGCCGCGGUAAUACGGAGGGUGCAAGCGUUAAUCGGAAUUACUGGGCGUAAAGCGCACGCAGGCGGUUUGUUAAGUCAGAUGUGAAAUCCCCCGGGCUCAACCUGGGAACUGCAUUUGAAACUGGCAAGCUAGAGUCUCGUAGAGGGGGGUAGAAUUCCAGGUGUAGCGGUGAAAUGCGUAGAGAUCUGGAGGAAUACCGGUGGCGAAGGCGGCCCCCUGGACGAAGACUGACGCUCAGGUGCGAAAGCGUGGGGCAGCAAACAGGAUUAGAUACCCUGGUAGUCCACGCUGUAAACGAUGUCGAUUUUGGAGGUUGUGCCCUUGGGGCGUGGCUUCCGGAGCUAACGCGUUAAAUCGACCGCCCUGGGGAGUACGGCCGCAAGGUUAAAACUC
rnacentral:rRNA from 1 species